CCAGAUCUUUGCAGGCUUAGGAAGUGACAAGUUCUACUACAACUAUGACAUUUCGAAUUCUCCAGCUGGCAAUAUUCCUCGCUAUCAUCUUUUAUGUCAGCUGUAUUCCUCCUCCCUGUCCAGGAGAUUCCUGUCCUACUAACUGCGCAACACACUAUGUAUAUGAUCAGCGACAUUGCAUGAGGUGCGAAUGCAUAGCUGAGCCCCCUUCCCGUCACGUUAUAUUCUAGAAUUAAAUAUAAGCUAAUAAUUUGACUGAAUUUAUGUUGCAACAAGCAUAAUUCAUCAACUGGAAGUGAAAUGAAACACAGAAAUAAAUAUUUUGCUUGGUA